rnacentral:rRNA from 1 species
CCUACGGGUGGCAGCAGUGAGGAAUACUGGUCAAUGGACGGAAGUCUGAACCAGCCAUGCCGCGUGCAGGAAGACGGCCCUAUGAGUUGUAAACUGCUUUUGUACAAGGGUAAACCUGAAUACGUGUAUUAUGCCGAAAGUACUGUACGAAUAAGGAUCGGCUUACUCCGUGCCAUCAGCCGCGGUAAUACGGAGGAUCCAAGCGUUAUCCGGAUUUAUUGGGGUUAAAGGGUGCGUAGGCGGGUUGAUAAGGUAGAGGUGAAAUGUCCGAGCUUAACUCGGGGACUGCCUCUGAUACUAUUGAUCUAGAGAGAGAGAGCGGUAGGCGGAAUGUAUGGUGUAGCGGUGAAAUGCGUAGAGAU